rnacentral:rRNA from 1 species
AUUGAACGCUGGCGGCAUGCUUUACACAUGCAAGUCGAACGGUAACAGGCCUUCGGGUGCUGACGAGUGGCGAACGGGUGAGUAAUGCAUCGGAACGUGCCCAGAGGUGGGGGAUAACGCAGCGAAAGCUGUGCUAAUACCGCAUGUGAUCUGAGGAUGAAAGCGGGGGACCAGGCAGCAAUGUUUGGCCUCGCGCCUUUGGAGCGGCCGAUGUCAGAUUAGGUAGUUGGUGGGGUAAAGGCCUACCAAGCCGACGAUCUGUAGCUGGUCUGAGAGGACGACCAGCGACACUGGGACUGAGACACGGCCCAGACUCCUACGGGAGGCAGCAGUGGGGAAUUUUGGACAAUGGGCGCAAGCCUGAUCCAGCAAUGCCGCGUGCGGGAAGGAGGCCUUCGGGUUGUAAACCGCUUUUGUACGGAACGAAAAGGCUCUGGCUAAUACCUGGGGCUGAUGACGGUACCGUAAGAAUAAGCACCGGCUAACUACGUG